rnacentral:rRNA from 1 species
GGAUGCAAUCAUACCAGCACUAAAGCACCGGAUCCCAUUAGAACUCCGAAGUUAAGCGUGCUUGGGCGAGAGUAGUACUAGGAUGGGUGACCUCCUGGGAAGUCCUCGUGUUGCAUCCC